UUUUUUUAGGGUUCGAGGUAGGGGACGAUCCAAAAACGAGGGGGGGUGUUUAAAUAGGCAUAGAGGGAGCUAGGAGAGUCCAAAUGAGGUGCGGUUUUCGCCCACACGAUCAUGAUCGAACGACCGAGACGAUGGAGCAGAGUUUGGUGGGUUUUGGGCCAAAUUGGAGGGGUGUUGGGCUGCAACACACACGAGGCCUUUUCGGUCCCUCGGUUAACCGUUGGAGUAUCAAACGAAGUCCAAAUGACCCGAAACUUGACAGGCGGUCUACCGGUAGUAAACCAAGGCCGCAUGGCAAGUCUCGGUCCAAUCCGGAAAUGUUUAAUCCCCACACACGAAAGAAAGCUAGAAAUGGCCACCGGAGGAGAACGAAGCGCCGGAAUGCAAAACGGACAACGGGGAAAAUGCUCGAAUGCAUGAGAUGAACAUGUAUGCAAAUGCAAUGCACGUGAUGACAUGACAUGAGAUGCACGAAAACGAAAACAACACACGGAGACAAAGACCCGAACCCGAGGAAUAAAUAUAACUUAAUGCCGGAAACGGCAAGAGUUGGAGUACAAAUCGGGAAAGCCACAUAUGGGGCGUUACAGUGAUGAACUUAAAAGAAAAUACCGGCUUGCUAAGUGGGAUAUUAUCUGUCGACCCAAAGACCAAGGAGACUUGGUAUUGAGAAUCUUGAAGUUAAGAACAGAUGCCUUCUUAGUAAGUGGUUGUGGAAGCUCGCUUCAGGGACUGAAGCCAUGUGGGCGCAGAUCCUUCGCGACAAGUACCUCCAGACUAGAACGCUGUCUCAGGUAACAGUUAGGCCGAUCGCCUUUAUGAAAAGGACUCAUGAAAGUCAAACAAUUACUGUUCAAUAGGACAAGAGUUGUUAUUGGAAAUGGGGCUACUACACGUUUCUGGAAGGAUACUUGGCUUGGCGACUCACCCCUGGCCAUUUAAUAUCCGUCUUUAUAUCGUAUUGCUCAACGACGUGAGGUGUUCGUGGCAACAGUAUUUCAUUCUAUCCCCCUUAAUAUUCAGUUUAGACGAUCGCUAGCGGGCAAUCGUUGGGAAGUUUGGCUCCAUUUGGUUAGGAGACUAAUGAAGGUUCAGCUUUCUGACCAUCCUGAUGAAUUACGCUGGAAGUUGACUAGGUCUGGAGUAUUUACAGUUAGGUCAAUGUAUAAUGAUGUUAUUAAUUCGAACUCCAUUCCAACUUCCAAGAAUGUCUGGGAUGUCAAAGUUCCUUUGAAAAUAAAAGUGUUUAUGUGGUUUGUCCAUAAACAAGUUAUUCUAACAAAGGACAACUUAAUAAAGCGUAAUUGGACAGGACCUACUAGGUGUAGUUUCUGUGAUCGGGAUGAGACGAUUAAGCAUCUAUUUUUUGAUUGCCCGUUGGCCAAGGUCCUUGGCAGACGGUCCACAUAUUAAUGCUUUAUUUGGGACUUGGCUUAAUGGGAUUGAGUCUACCUUAGCAAGACAUAUUCGGGUUGGAGUCUGCGCUUUGCUGUGGACCAUCUGGCUUUGCAGAAAUGAUUUGGUUUUUAACAGAACAUCACGGAUUCAUUUUUUGCAGAUUAUUUUCCGAGCUACGGCAGUGAUCCGUUUGUGGUCGCUACUCACUUCGAUGGAGGCCAGGGAGUAUUUGGUUACUGGGUUUAUCCGUUGGGAGAUGAUAGCUCGGGAUAUCUUCAACCGGUUUGGAUGGCGGUCAUGUAAUAGGAUAGGCAAUUAGUUUACCUACCUUGUUUAGCCAGCCGGUUGUGGCAUCUUUUCCUGGCCAGUUUGUGUAUCUAGCCUUUUGCGCUCUGUGUGAGCUGCUUUUUCCUUUUUUUUAGUUUGAGACUUUGGAACUUUGUUGGCACAGUUUGUUUGUUGGUUAAUAAGAUGGCCGUAUGCAUCACCCUUGAUGCAGAGGCCAGGGAGCCCCCCUUUUCGAAAAAAGGACACCACCAAUCAAGCACAUGGAUCCAUCAGUCAAUUGGACGAGACUUGCCUGCUCCCUUCCCGUGUGCCCAUCCGUGCUCCCGCAUAUGUGGCUUGAUUUGAUUGGACAAAAUAAGGCCCGGCCCCACCCCCUUAAAAUCAGGGGGGAGAUGAUUAGAUUAGAAAGGAAAAAGGGAAAAAGACAGCCGUAGGAUGAAGUGGGAGCACGGAUGGGAGCAUGGGGAGGGAGCAGGCAAGCCGGAUUCCAGUCAAUCGAUCUAACAACAACAACUUCACCUCAAUGAUAAAAACUGGUGGAGAAAUGCUUACCCACAUUCUAAAUUUGUGACGCGGCACUUUUUAUCCACAUCCCCCUUUAUUUUAUUCAAAAAGUGGCCAUGUGGCCAUAUUUGAUACGCAAUCAAUAAGACGUUUCUAGUGGUGUGUCAUCUAAAUUCCACGUCAUUAAUAUUUGAGAUCCAACAGCUUGGCCAAUUGCAAGUGGUGGCGUCGAUCUUUCUGCCACGCCAUGAAUGCCAAUACUAGUAGUGCAUGUGAAAUUUUACCGUGCCACAGGUAAUCAAACAAGUUCAUUCAAAAACAAAAGCAAANNNNNNNNNNNNNNNNNNNNNNNNNNNNNNNNNNNNNNNNNNNNNNNNNNNNNNNNNNNNNNNNNNNNNNNNNNNNNNNNNNNNNNNNNNNNNNNNNNNNNNNNNNNNNNNNNNNNNNNNNNNNNNNNNNNNNNNNNNNNNNNNNNNNNNNNNNNNNNNNNNNNNNNNNNNNNNNNNNNNNNNNNNNNNNNNNNNNNNNNNNNNNNNNNNNNNNNNNNNNNNNNNNNNNNNNNNNNNNNNNNNNNNNNNNNNNNNNNNNNNNNNNNNNNNNNNNNNNNNNNNNNNNNNNNNNNNNNNNNNNNNNNNNNNNNNNNNNNNNNNNNNNNNNNNNNNNNNNNNNNNNNNNNNNNNNNNNNNNNNNNNNNNNNNNNNNCACACACAUCCAUCCAUGGUUUUACUAGCUAUGAUAUGUGAAUGUGUAGCUGUGAUAUGUGAAAGAGGGAAUUCUAUAUGUGCUAGAUGAUGUGUUGGUUAUUGCUGAGAUGGUUACCGGCCACCGAGCUAUGUGUUUUCUUGUUUUUAGGGAAUAUAUACAUAAGUGCUACAUGUAUAAUGUGGCUGUUAUAAUACAUUUAGUUGUCAUAUAUUGUAUAAUGCGGAUAGUAUAAUCUCUUUAGUUGUUAUAUAUUGUUGUUAUAUAUACAUGGUUCCUAGCUUAAUUAAAUACUUUGCUUAGUUUAGUAGGUAUAUUCAAAUCGACCACUGUCGUAGCCAUGAGUUCAUCUACGCCGAUGGACUCCUUCAACAAAAGCAACAACAACGUCGAUAUGGCGGCGGCCACACCAACGUGAGUAGCAACCGAGUAAGAACAUCUCAUAACUUGGUUCAUAGGUGUACAGUGUACUUUUCUUUACUUGAUAUGUUGGUCAUCAAACUUGUAGGAACAUCUCAUAGGUUUUGUGUGUAGGAACAUCGAAGUGUAGGAAUAACAAACACGAUUUGUUGACAAUAAAAAAAUCAUCUUGUCUUCUUCUUCAACAACAACUCUUCCUUUACUUCUAGUUAUGAUGGUCAUCAACUUAAUUCAAAGGUGUACUUUCCUUUACUUCUAGUUAGGAAGGUUUACAUAUAUGGUUUGUAUAUUUAUUUUCAUAGGUGUACAACUAAUUCAAUUUCAUGCAUGGUGAUUGCAAACAUUUCCUUAUAGGAUACCUAGGGAUUCAGAUCGAUAGGUUUGGGCAUGCUGAGGAAAAGGUAUAUGAUGUUGGCAGGCUCAACCAACCAGUAGCUUUUGGCCGCUCAAGAAGCUACCAUCACGCAACUUAAGGAUGUGAGGGAUUAGCUGCGGGGUGAGAGGGAUGGGCUGAUUGGCAAGACGGCUCAGCUCAUUGCUGAGAGGAAUGUGCACAAGGAUGAAAGGGAUCAACUGAAGAAGGAGAGGAAUCAGCCAAACUAUGAGGGGAAUGAGCUCAGAAGUCGCAAUGCUGCUUUUAUCAAAGAAGGGAUAGAGAAUAGGCAGAAGCUUCGAAAGAUCAAAUCAAUGGUUGAAGUCUAACACUUUUAUGUUAAGUUCAUCGAGAACGUAUCUAACUUGUUAAACUGCUAUGUUUAAUUAGUUAAACGAGUAAUGAUCUUAGAUGUUAAACCGCUAUGUUUAGUUGAUCGAGUACCUAUCUUAGUUGUUAAACUGCUAUGCUAAGUUAAACUGUUAUGUUGUUAUUUUAUACGUGAAACAUCAUACUGCUAAUGCGACACCAACAUGGCAUCACUGAUGAUGAAAUAUUACUGGUGACGUGGGACAAGUCACACACUAUCAGUAUAUAUGUUAGUGAUGGUGUGGGCUGCCAACACCAUCACUAUUUAUCAGUGGCGUCAUAUUGAUGGUGUGGAAUGACCACGCCACCACAACACUUUUUGCCACGACACCACUGGCAUUUCCUGCACUAAUGAACCACAUGCUAUUCACCAACAUCUGCAUGAGCAUGGUCGUCUCGCUGCUGCGAUUUUAUUCAUCGCAUUGUAGGAUUUGCAAGCGUGUGCCUCACGAGGUUCUUUUUCAAGAACACACGUGUCCCUUUGCAUUAAUUAAGGGAGGAACCAUUACAAAGUUCUAUACAAAGGUGGCAUUUUUUUCUUUUUGAGGCAACGGCUGCUCUUUCUUCCGGUGGAAAGCAAAAUGACCCUUUCGCUAGGGUUUCUCAUGCCUUUCGUCGGUGCUGCCGCCGGUCUACCUCGUCUCCUGUGGUUUUAGGGCCAUGAAGGCACGGUGAAUCCCGGCCCUUGUCGGCGGGAAGGCUCCGAUUUUCAUGUUUUUUUUUAGUUUUGUUAGGGUUUGUGUCCUGCUUAGAGACGCAGACGACGACGGUUCUCUGAAGAUGGAAUAAGGUUCUCCCCACCUAGUCCCCAUCCCGGUGGUGUUUCUAGCAUCGUCGGAGGGCGUGUGAAGAUUUGUCUCCGGCAGAUCUCGUGGGAUUUGGUUGACAUUUGUCUUCGGUGGAUCCACGUGGAUUUUGUAUUCGUUCGUGUGUGUAUAGGUUGGAUUCUUCCGAUCAACGCUUUUGUUCAUCAGCGAUGGUUGCUGUUAUGUUGUGCUUGUCCUAUAGGGCCUUAGCAUGAUGACUUCCGGACUAUAUACUACAACAAGGUUUGCUCGGCUUCGAUGAUGGAUGGGUGAACAUGGCGGUGCACCUUCGGCUCGCCCCAGUGCUUGUAGCCGUUGCUAGGUGGUCUACUGACCUAGAUUAAUUUUUGUACUUCUGAUGUUCUUUAUACUACCUUAACGGUUGAUGAAUAGAUAUGAAGUUUUCUCAAAAGGAAAAAAAUGUUCUAUACAAAGGUGCAGGCAAAGAGCGAUGCACCCGUCUACUGAAAAUGAAAAGAAAUACAUAUUGUUUGCGUUGACAAGAGUCCACCUAGCUAGGAUUUGCUCUCCUUCCAUGCAGGAGACUCUUGGACUACCAAAACCUCGGUUGUACUAACAUACAAGGUCGGUGCUUUCCUACAAUUUAAAGACGACCCACACGGCCAACGCUACUAGAGAUCGAAUUUUCUUUAUCAACAACAGAACAGAAAAAAUAUUAUGUUGGUCGCCGGCGGCUGGUUCACCGGGGUGCUGUCGUCGUUGACGAGGUUCCUCUUCAUGUGGUCCAUGGCGCACCAGUGCGUUCCAGAUUUUAUCAGGAACUACGUCCACAGCCUCGCUAGCCGCAUCGUGGACGCCAUAUCCCCCUACGACACCGUCACCAUGGACGAGCGCCACCCCGACUACUUCGGCCGCAACCAGGCCUACGCCACCACCGAGGCCUACCUCACCGCCACCUGCCGGUCCGGCGCCCGCUGCCUCCGCGCCACCCUCGGCUUCGACAACGACCGCAUGAGCCUCGCCCUGGACGACCACGAGGAUGUCGUUGACCACUUUCGCGGCGCCAACAUGCGCUGAAGCAAGAUCAAGGUGGUUCCCCGUGCCACCACCAUCGUCACCAACGGCCCCGGCCGCACCGGGGAGCGCCGCAUGUACCGCCUCACCUUCCACCGCCGCCACCGGCGGCUUGUCGAGGACGCCUACCUGCCGCACGUCCUCGCCGAGGGCCGUGACGCCAUCGCCAGGGCCCGCCAGCGCAGCCUCCACACCAACAAGCCCAAGGACGACUGGGAGGGAGACUACGACGCCUGGAGCAGCGUCAAGUUCGAGCACCCCUCCACCUUCUCCACCCUCGCCAUGGACCCCACCAGGAAGCAGGAGAUCCUUGACGAUCUCCAGAUGUUCCGUGACAGCAGGGACUACUACGCCUCCAUUGGCAAGACGUGGAAGCGGGGUUACCUGCUGUUUGGGCCUCCUGGCAGUCUGGCACCGGCAAGUCCACCAUGAUCGCCGCCAUGGCCAACUUCCUCGACUACGACGUCUACAACCUCGAGCUCACGUCGGUCAAGAGCAACACGGAGCUAAAGAGACUCUUCAUUCGCACAAAAGGCAAGUCCAUCAUCGUUAUUGAGGACAUUGAUCGCUCCAUCGAUCUCACAGGCAAGCGCAGUAACAAGAAGAAGACGGACGAUGGAGAAAAGGACAAGGAGAGCAAGGUCACGCUGUCCGGGGUGCUCAACUUCAUUGACGGGCUAUGGUCUGCUUGUGGAGGAGAACGGAUCAUUGUGUUCACGACCAACCACAAGGAGAACCUAGACCCGGCACUGAUCCGACGUGGCAGGAUGGACAUGCACAUCGAGAUGUCCUACUGCUGCUUCGAGUCCUUCAAGGUGCUCGCCAAGAACUACCUUGGUGUCGAAGAGCAUUAUAUGCUCAGUGAGAUUCGGCAGCUUCUAGGCGAGGUCAACAUAUCGCCGGCUGAUGUAGCAGAGAAUCUGAUGCCUAGGUCGAAGGAGAAGGACGUGGACAGCUGUCUCGGUAGACUGGUUAUGGCGCUUAAGGAGAAAUCAUCUGCUAGGAACAAAGAUGGAGAUGAGAAUGACAAUAGUGGCAAACAACAGGAGGAAGACAAGAACAAAAAGCGCGACAUUAGCAACGAUGACAAGAAAGAAGAUGAUGUACCAUGAUAGCAUAUAGAGUUAGUAAGUGCAUGUGUAGAUAUAAUUUUUAACACAAGAGUAUAUGUACACUUGCAUUCGAGUUGGUCCGUUAGGGUGCCUGCCCCAUGUGUCUUUUUGGUUGUGGUAUCUUACUUGCAAUCAAGUUAAAAAUAUAGAUACCAUGUGACACAUGUGGUAAGCAAUCCAAACAAUCCAAAAAACAAGUUAAAAAUAUAGAUUAUGUGAAAUUUAUACAAGUGUCAAUUGGCGUGGUUUGCUCGUCCCAAUUUUUUGUCAACUUUUCCGCUUCAAAAUCUGCAAGAAUUUAUAUGUUUCCAUCAUUUUCGUGUGAGUUUGUCGUAGUAGACUAGUACUAGGAGAGAGUGUUUCUACACAUGCAUAGAUGAACCCCUUUUCUUAUUUGUUUGAGGGAAGACAAGACGGCCCUUCAAAAAUAAGUACAUACGGACACUAUCUUCUUACAAACUGAUAUAUCGAUUAAAUAUACUUCUCUGGUUUGACUUGAUCAUGAAUAUAUGUAUGCUAGUUAAUUCAGCUGCACAUAUACACAUACCACGAAUGUGUGAAUCCAGCAGUUUGUACAAUGUAUUUAGAAAUUUACCUGCUUUAGAUGUGCGAAGUUAGGAAACGCGUAAAAUAUAUGUUAGGGCAUGUACAAUGGUGCUAUCUUAGAGGUGCCACAUAGGAUAAAUAUUGACGUGAAGGAGAGAGAAAUCAUAAGAAAAAGGCUUUGUUUUCUCUUAUUUAAGAGAUAAUCUCUUAGCACAAUAUGUCUCUUCACGUUUUUAGGAAUAGCUAGUUAUUGAAGGUAAGGUUAAGAGGUAACCCGUUGUAGAUAUACUUUUAUCGGGGGAUUGGAUGAUUUGCCCCACUUUACAAGGGGUUUGUUGAUUUGCCCCAGGGUGCAAAAGAUCCAAUUUCUCUAUUGUCAUCUCUCAAUUACAUGCAAGGCUUAAGAUAAGACUGUCUUAUCAACCAUUGUACAUGCCCUUAGGUGUUAGAACAUUUUUUUAAAUCAUUAAAUGUUACUAAACAUUAUUUUUGAAUGGUACAAAACAUUUUUUAAUUACUUGAAUUUUUUUGCACUGCAUAAACAUUUUUAAGAGUAGCACAAACAAAUUUCUGAAACAUGUAGGCAACUUGAUUGAUCUACAGGAAGCUAGCAGUAUGUAUGCAUGGCUGGAUUUUAAUUGAAUGCAGUGCUGCUGAAUUUGUUUAGCUAGCGACCAGAACCUAUUAUGCUGUUGUUUGUUUGUUGUUGCUUCAGUUAAGCUUCACAAGACAUGUACUGUACUUGUACCUUGCAUGUGUUUGAUAAUAUAUGUGAAGAAGAAAGAUGCAAUGCGGCCUUGGAGCGGUGAUGCCCUAUUUUAGGAUAGCUGUUUGGAGACAGCGCUUGCUCGUGCCCAAAAAAAUAUAUCAGUUUUCGUGUCCAAAAGUUUACUUCGCCGCUUUUCGUGUCAAAAAAUAAGGCUGAUGUUGGAGAUGCUCUAAAUGUGUGACUGUUUGGUUGUCCUUGUUGCUAUCUCUUAUAACUCUCUUGAUCAAUCUGCUUAUGGCCACUUGAUUGCAGAAUUAGAAAUUUCAUGGAAGCUUGCAGGUGAGUUCCUCUGAAAUUAGAAUGCGAGCAAAAUAGGGUAUUCUCAUUGUCUAGCUAAUCAUGGUUAUUACGUUGGUAGCACCCCUCGUUAGCUGUGUCAGGUUCCAUGUUGUAUCUCUUAAGCUUGCAUUAGCGGACUAUAAUUCUAUUCUUAUGAAAUAAAACCUAUUCUUUCUCCCAGAAAAAGUAUCUAGCGUCAUCACGUUUCUUCUUGUUUGAGAGUGUGUCUUCCUGUUUCAUGUAUCUCAGCAAAAUCUGGGCGCACAUACUUGAACACAUUUAAUAAUACUAGAUCAAUGCACGCUAUAUAGUAUGCACGGUUGAAAAACACUACCUAUUAACCCGCAAAAAAACACUCUGUCACUAGCCUACUAAAAAUUUAUGUAUAAAUUCAAGCAGUUAUUGAGGAGAAAAAAUGACAAAAAGAUUCACCCAAACAAAGCAGGUGAGUGGGGCUCUUGUAUAAAUUCACAUCAAUGUAAUUUGUUUUACUUGAAAGGAAGAUAAACCAACUGAUUCGUGUCAGCACCCUACGGACUACUGAUUCGGAUGCAAUGAUACAUAUUUUGUGUUAUACUCUAUGUACGCAUGCAUUUACUGACUCACACAUUUGUAUAUGCUAUCGUGGGCAGAAUUAUUGAUCCUCGUCUUCUUUCUUGUCGUCACUAUCGUCUUCCUCCUCUUCUUCGUCACUACUGUCAUUCUCUUCUUCAUCUUUGUCCCCGGCAGAUGCUUUCUCCUUGAGCGCCAUAACCAAUCUACCGAGGCAGGCGUCCACGUCCUUCUUCUUUGACCUAGGCAUCAGGUUCUCCGCUACAUCAGCCGGCGACAUGUUGACCUCGCCUAGAAGCUUCCGAAUCUCACUGAACAUAUCGUGCUCCUCGACACCAAGGUAGUUCUUGGCAAGCACCUUGAAGGAUUCGAAGCAGCAGUACGACAUCUCGAUGUGCAUGUCCAUCCUGCCACGCCGGAUCAACGCGGGGUCUAAGUUCUCCUUGUGGUUGGUCGUGAAGACAAUAAUUCGCUCGCCUCCGCAUGCGGACCAUAGACCGUCGAUGAAGUUGAGCACCCCGGACAGCGUCACCUUGGUCUCCUUGUCCUUGUCUUCAUCGUCGUCCUUCUUCUUCUUGCCCUUCUUACCGCGCUUGCCUGUGAGAUCGAUGGAGCAGUCGAUGUCCUCAAUGACGAUGAUCGACUUGCCUUCCGUGUCGAUGAAGAGCCUCUUCAGCUCGGUGUUGUUCUUGACCGUCAUCAGCUCAGGUCAUAGACGUCGUAGUUGAGGAAGUUGGCCAUGGCCGCGAUCAUGGUGGACUUGCCGGUGCCAGGAGGCCCAAACAAGAGGUAACCUCGCUUCCAUGUCUUGCCGAUUGAGGCGUAAUAGUCCUUGCCGUCACGGAACAUCUCGAGAUCGUCAAGAAUCUCUUGCUUCUUGGUGGGGUCCAUGGCGAGGGUGGAGAAGGUGGAGGGGUGCUCGAACUUGAGGCUGCUCCAGCCGUAGUCCCCGGACCAGUCGUCCUUGGGCUUGUUGGUGUGGAGGCUGCGGUGGCGGUUUCUGCUGAUGGCGUCACGACCCUCGGCGAGGACGUGCGGCAGGUAAGCGUCCUCGACGAGCCCCCGGUGGCGGCGGUGGAAGGUGAGGCGGUACAUGCGGCGCUCCUCGCUGCGGGCGGGCCCCUUGGUGAUGAUGGUUGUGACGCGGGGAAACACCUUGAUCUUGUUCCAGCGGAUGUCGGCGCCGCGGAAGUUGUCGACGACCUCGUGGUCGUCCAUGGUGAGGCUCAUGCGGUCGUCGUCGAAGUCGAGGGUGGCGAGGAGGCAGCGGGCGCUGGACGCGCAGGUGGCGCUGAGGUAGGCCUCGGCGGUUUCGUAGGCCUCGUUGCGGCCGAAGCAGUCGGGGUCGUGCUCGUCCAGGGUGAUGGUGUCGUAGGGGGAUAUGGCGUCCUUGAUCCGGCUGAUGAGGGUGUCGACGUAGUCCCUGACAAUGUCUGGAACGCACUGCUGCGCCAUGGACCACAUGAACAGGAGGUUCGUCAACGACGACAGCACCCGCGUGAACCAGCCGCCGGCGACCAACAUGUCCAUGGCUCGAUCUCGAUCUCGAUCUCUACUAGUAGUAUCUUUUGUUUGAUAAUAAAUUCGAUAUCUACUUGUGCAUCACGUGGGUCGUCUUUAUAUGCCCGAAGCACCGACCUUCUGAAUUCAAGUACAACGCAAACCCUAGAUGCAUGGACUCUGUCAACGGAGAAAAUAUGAACACAUGCACGAGCGAAAUUUCCUUUGGGAGACUAGUAGUCUUUGCACGGGUUACGAUUCCGGUUUCCCAAAGGAAACUAGAUACACGGAGCUUGCAAAGGAAAAAGAGAUUCCCCGCUCCUAGGGUUCCCCCGCGCCUUCGCCGCCGCCGGCCUGCGCCACCGGGCCCUGCCCACAUGGUGUUGGCGGCGGCGGCGGCGGCCUUCCCUUCCCCACGCGUGGUGCCAUGGCUCGGGUGGUGGCGUCCCGCGGCGGUGCUCCUCGGUCGACGGUGGUUCCGGCAGCGGCGGCUGCUCGAGGCGGCGCGCUCUGGGUGGCCUAGAGGCGGCGGCGCGGCCACUUGGCGGCGGGCUGGCGCAGUGGAUGGUGGCGGUGCCCUCCUGGCCUAGAUCCGGGCCCUUUUGGGCCCAAUCUGGGUCUGGGCGGGCCUGUCUCGGUCUCGCCUGCGACGGCUCCGGCAGGGGCGGUGGUGGCGCGGAUCGUGCGGGGGGUUGUGGAGACGGCGACGCGUCUACUGCAGCUCGGCGACGGGUGCUUCACGAGCCCCUUUUGGGCUCGGCCGGGCCUCGAGGGCCUGGUACGCUCCCCUUGCCGCGUCCGGUCGGUGACCGCCGAUGGCGGUGGAGGUUGUCUCCUCCGGCGUGGCUGUUGUCGCUGCCGCUCCUCGUUCCCUGCUGCUCCCUCUCGUCCUCGUCGGUCUUGCUUCGAUGACCAUGGUGAGGCGGCGGUGAUGAUGGCAAGACCGUGGUGGCGCACGUUCGUGGGUGGCUUGUCUGGUGGAGCACGUCGGACCGUUCGGGGUUGUGGGUGUUUGGCGGAUGGGUGAAAUCCGUGCCGGCUUGCCGGCACCGACGCUGUGACGCCCGUGGGCGCCAUCGUUCCUACCUGAAGGGCGUCGGGUCUUCCCCUUCCCCACUCCCCUCCGCAUACCGGGGGAAACCCUAGGACCUGUCCGGGCAGCAUCGUCGUCGUUGUCGUGUUCCUUCCUGAAGGUGCUGCUUAGUAUGCGGAGGUUCGAGGUGCCUGGAGCGAGGUGGUACAUCUCCGGUGGGCACAACGGUUUCGGAUUAUCAUCGUUUUCGCUGAUCCGACGUUGUUAACAUUAUUUUCUCUCUUCUUUCUCUUUUGUUUCUUUUGGGCAUGCUUGUGCUGUUUUCCCCAGCAUUGGACUCUUUGUUGUAUCGGGCAGUUGCUAUAUCUAUAUAGCGUGGCGAAAGCCUUUUCCUUAACUAGAUACACAGCUAAACCGACGUUUUUCUCUCCAUAUGUAAGUAUAAACCUGUAUUGCGGCUACGCCAAACUCAAACUAAUGCAAGACCGCUGUGAAGAAACUGUGUGAUGAACAGUAACAAUUGAUGUUUAUUGACAAUGAUGAUGGACAUAUUUAUACCUCCCGAAGAGGCGCGGCACACAUGCGCGAUGGUUACAAUAGGCACGAGAUGAGAAUGACGCGUCUAUUGCAUUAGGAUGCGAUUGUUUGGGAGAGAAACCGCAUGUCGGUUCCACGGGCAGAGAUUCCAUUUAAUUAAUUAAUCCUAACACUCCUUCUAAUCUUUGCUUCAAUUAUUCUUGUAAACAUCAUCAUCAACAUCUUGAUCAUCAUCAUCAUGAUCACUCUCCUCCAGAAACCCUGUAUGAAAAAUAUGAAGAGAUAUGUAGAAUAUGCCGUAAAAUUUCCUUCCAAAAACCCAGUGAGAAAAUAGAGAGAAAGUGACAUAUCACCAUGUCUGCAUUACUAUUUCCACAUUAAAAACCUUCCAUAAGAAAUCAUUCAGAAAAAACAUAGUAUAAAGGAAAAGAGUGCAAUAUCAAAGAUCUAAGGAGUUUCAUACCAAUUCCUUUGAUAUACUUCUCAAAUAAAGAACUUGGUAAUAACUUUGUAAACAAAUCAGCAAGAUUAUCAAAUGACUUUGUUUGCAAAAUAUUUUUCUCCCCGUUUUGUUGUAACUCAUGGGGAUAAAAUAACUUAGGAGAAACAUGCUUUGUAAUCUUACUCUUUAUAUAACACUACUAGGAGAAAGCUUAUAGAUAGAACCUUAGCAGUAGCGCGAGCUUGGGGUGCGGCACUACUGCUACUUAGCAGUAGUGCAUGGUGUAAACCGGCGCUACAGGUAUAGAUGUAGCAGUAGCAUUGGACAGCCUACCAGCACUACUGCUAAGUGGAUCCAUCCUCGUCCAUCGGGGCUGACCGUAGUUGUAGUGGCAGUUGAAAAGUAGCGCUACAACUAAUAUAUUAGCAGUAGUGCUUGUCGGAUGACCGCCGCUACCGCUAUUUGUGCACGGUGCCAGAAGGUGGGCCAUACUUAGCAGUAGCGCCGGUCAACAGGCCAGCACUACUGCUACAAAAUUUAGCAGUAGCGUCGUUUUCUAUCCAGCACUACUGGUAAGUCUAACUUAUCUUCACCCGCGGCCCUCACUGUCCAUCUCCACUCUCUAUCUCCAUCCCCGUCGCUGCCACUGCCGCCCCCGCAUUGCCGCCGCCACAUUGCUGCAUCCCGCUGCCGCCAUCGCUCCCCUGGUAUGUCUUCCUCCCUCCUCCCUCCCUCCUUCCCCCAUCCCUCCGACCCUCCUCCCUUCCUCCUCCAUCCCUUCUACCCUCUCCCUCCUCCCUCCCUCCCACCUCUCCCUACGACCCUCAACCUCCAUCCCUCCCUCCCAACCUCUCUCCUGCAUUGCAUAAAUGGAUGGAUUGAACUAGGCUUUUUAGUAAUGCUUUGGAUAGAUAGAUAGAUGGAUGGAUGGAUAGAUGUCAAUGUUAGAACUAGGGUAUUUUUGUAAUAAAAAAUUUCAGUAAAAAACUAGUAAUACAAUUUUUAGUAAAUGUAGGUCUUUUGAAUUAGCAUAAUAAUGUUUUUUUAUAUUUUGUUUUGCAGAAAUCAAGGAGCCCCUGCAUCGUCCCCGUCACCGACCCCCUCCGUCCUUGAGGUGAGACCAGCCAAAUCCCCAUGUCGUUGAUGUCGAUGAUGAUGUACAUGUUUUUAUAGAUGUAGUAGAGUAGUAGAUGAGUAGUUGUGACAAUGAGUAUUCCCCGAGCGAAAAGAGUCCUCUCCGCAGGAUACUCCCACGACCCACGAGCUAGGGUUCAUCCCUUGCUCCCCCUGCCGCCGACGGCCACACUCGCCCCCUCCCGCUAGCGCCGGCCGUCGUCGCACACGCCCCCCGGCCCACCUCCCUCUCCCCCUCCGCCUCCCCUCCCCCGGCGCUCCUGUCGCCCCCCGAGGCGGCGGAGCGCCCCCUUGCCCUCCUCCCCGUCUCGACCCCCUUCUCCUCCAUCUCCCUUCGCCGCCGCCGGCAGCGGCCUCCGACGUGCUCGGGUGGCACCGACGGCGGCGGACAUCCCUUCCCCGCGCGCCUGGAAGGGGUGUCGGGGCUCCCUCCUGCCCGGCGGCGGUGUUGUUUGGCUGGCGGCGGUGGGGCCCGACAGCGGAGUUCUGCGGGCCUCGGGUGCGCUCGAUGCCGCGGCGUGGCCGUUGGCUGCGGGGCGGCACGGUGGGCAGCUGGUCGGCGGCGCCCGCUUGGCCCAGAUCUGGGCCCUUUUGGGCCCUAUCUGGGUUGGGGCAGGCCUGCGGUCCAGGGCGUGAUGGCAUGGCUCCCUGGUGGUGAGACGAGGCGGCUGUGGCUGCGGUGGUGGUGGCUCCAGCGGCCGGCAUGCUACAGCGUGGCUGCAGGGACUGUCCGGACCCGUUGGGGUCCGGCCGGGCCGGUGGUGGCCUGGCAAGUCCCUGUCACUACGCCUGGUCGGCUCCGCACGGCGGUGGAGGUUGUUCCCUCCUGUCGGCCGUGUUGCUGUAGCCUCCGAGCCCGGUGUCUUCUCGUCCUACCUCCAGGUCUCGUGUUGGUGACCUCACUGAGACGGUGAAGAUGGUGCGGUAUCCGUGGUGGCACAGACUGGUGGGCGGCAUGUUGGGUGGUGCGCUUUCGAUUGUAUGGGGUGGUGGUGGUGGUUUCGGGGCGGGAGAAAUCUCUGGCGGCUCGUUCACCACCGGCGCGGCCGCGCCCAUGGGCGUUGCCGGACCCUCUCGAGGGGCGUCGGUGACACCCCUUCCCACUGCCAUUCGUGUACCGAAACCCUAGGACUUGUCCGGGCAGCAGCGUCGUCAUCGUCGCAUUUAUUCAUGAAGAUGUUGCUUGGUAUGCGAGGCUUCAGUGUGCUUGGCGGGCGGUGGUACUUCUCCAGACGGUGCAGUGGAUGUCGGCCAUCUUUGCUUAGUUGAACUUCCGGUGUUGGCAUUUGUCUCCUUUUUCUUUCUCUCCUUUUUCUUUUGGGCUUGUUUAUCGUACGGCCCCAACAAGCUGGUUGUAUCGGUUGGACAUUACUUUAUAAUCUAAAGCGGGGGGAAACCCCUUUUCGUCGGUAGUUGUGACAAUGUGAUGAAGCUAGUUUUUUUAGAAAGUAUCCAUGAGGCUACUCCCUGUUAUAUGCACUUCUGUUUCAUUAUUGAUUUUGAAAAAUGCUGACAAAAUGGAUGCAUAGAUGCAUUUUGUAGGGAACACCUCCGAGAGUGGCCUAUGUUUUGCCGUAAUGUUGAUUCAUUUCCGUUCCUACAAAUUUCAGACACUCGAUAUGUCCUAAUUUAGCGAAGGUCAUGCCGAAUUUUUUCGUGAAUUUUGGCAUGACUUGUGCUAGAAAGUAGGAAAUAUCGUGUGCCCAUGAUUUGCCGGAACGGGAAUUAAUCGACAUCCCGACAGAACAUAGGCACUUUUUAUGUCAUUGGUCCAUAUAUGUAACGGGUUGACAUUCUGUCUGUCAGGUCUCCUUGUCCAUAUAUGGGAGAGAGGAAUCCUGACUGUUGUCGUGGGGGUAGCUUCUUCUUCAUUCGAAGGUGCUAGACAUUUUGGUGUAAUGCACUUUCGAAUGAAAGGAGGAGCUACCAUCACUGACGGACGCAAAUAUCAGAGAGAAAGAAUCCCGAUAGUUCUCGUGGGGGUCGCUUCUCCUUCGUUCCCGUGUGCUAGACAUUUUGGUGCAACGCACUCGGGAAGGAAGGGAGGAGCGACCAUCACUGACGGUCUAUUAUAUCAGAGAGGGAGUGCCCACCAUAUACACCACGUGAGAUGAGAGUUUUCAAGGAAAGAAUCGACAGAUCGACAGUCAACCCGUGCUGAAUAGUGAUCUGCGUGUUGAGUUUUAGGUAAUUGCCGUCGAUCUAUUUUUAAUCUUCAAAUUAUGAACAUAGGAAAUGUCUGACGAUGCUAAGAUCCCUGAGUGCGACUACUGCGACGACGGCCGGGGUCUGCGCAACAUGCCUCACCUGAAAGAUGGUCAGCGCUUCACUAUUAAGCUCGACGAGACCUUCGAUGUUUGUAUGGUACGCAACGACGGCAAAUCUUUUUUCGUAAUUAAGCAUGACUUCUGCUUCUUCAACAUGUAAUUUCUGUUUUUUACACAUCAACUAGCGCGUCCCCUGCCAUGCGAGACGGUAUGUCUUGGAGAAGCUGGAGUUCAAAGAUCAUGAGAAUAUGGAGAUAAAGAAAGUUCACCUCCAGACCCAACAUGGUUACACUAUGUAACGCCCUCGAUGCGGCUAUGUCUCCCACGUGUCGAGGCACGACUUAGAGACAUAGGCGCAUUGAAAGCAAUGUCGCAAGUCGGGAAUCAUUACACAACCCAUGUACAUAUAUAAUAUAAAGGGGAAUAAUAGCAUAGUUGGCUUACACUCGCCACGUCACAUCAAAGUACAUAAAUAACAUUCAUCAUACAAUCACUCAUGGCCCGACUACGGCGCCAAAAUAGAAAAGACCCCCAACAAGCGACUAGGUCCUGGAUCUAACCCCGAAUAGGCAUCCCUACUGAUCAUCCGGAAAAGACACAUAGUAACGCCGAGAGUCCUCGUCGUACUCCCACUUCAGCUCGAGCGCGCCAUCCGGAGAGGUAUCAUCUGUCCCUGCAUAUGGUGUAAUAGUAAUCUGUGAGCCACAAAGGACUCAGCAAUCUCGCACCCUCGCGAUCAAGACUAUUUAAGCUUAAUAGGUAGGAAAGGGGUAAUGUAAGUGGAGCUGCAGCAAGCGACUAGCAUAUGUGGUGGCUAACUUAUUCGCAAAGGAGAGCGAGAAGAGGGGGCAAAGCACGAGCGGAAAACUAGAGAGCAGCCUACGCAAACAUAACUCCAACGCCGUGUCCACUUCCCGGACUCCGCCGAGAAGAGGCCAUCACGACAACACACGCAGUUGAUUCAUUUUAAUUAUUUAGGUUCAAGUUAUCUACAACCGGACAUUAACAAAUUCCCAUCUGCCCAUAACCGCGGGCACGGCUUUCGAAAGAUCAAUCCCUGCAGGGGGGUCCCAACUUAGCCCAUAACAAGCUCUCACGGUCAACGAAGGAAUAGACCUCCACCCAGGACCCACCGAUCAGACUCGGUAUCCCGGUACAACAAGAUGAUUCGACAGGUCAAAACUAGUCCAGCAACACCGCCCGAAUGUGCCGACAAAUCCCGAUAGGAGCUGCACAUAUCUCGUUCUCAGGGCACACUCAGAUGAGUAAACCGUACAACUAAAACCAGCCCUCAAGUUUCCCCGAGGUGGCGCUGCACAGGGCUCUAGUUCGGACCAACACUCAGAGGAGCACUGGCCCGUGGGGGGGGGGCUAAAAUAAAGAUGACCCUCGGGCUCCGGAAACCCAAGGGAAAGAAAAGGGGUAGGUGGCAAAUGGUAAAACCAAUGUUGGACAUUACUAGAAAAGCUUUAAUCAAGGCGAACUAUCAAGGGGUUCCCAUUAUAGCCCAACCGCGUAAGGGACGCAACAAUCCGGGAACAUAACACCGAUAUGACGGAAACUAGGGCGGCAAGAGUGGAACAAAACACUAGGCGAGAGGCCGAGCCUUCCACCCUUUACCAAGUAUAUAGAUGAAUAAAGAUAACAUAGCAAUAUAAUGAUAUCCCAACAAGUAAAUAAAUGUUCCAACAAGGAACGGCUCCAAUCUUCACCUGCAACUAGCAACACUAUAAGAAGGGGCUUGAGCAAAGCGGUAACAUAGCCAAUCAAUGGUUUGCUAGGACAAAGGUGGGUUAGAGGCUCAAUCAUGGCAAUUGGGAGGCUGACAAGCAAGUGGUAGGCAUCGUAGCAUUGGCAAAGCAAAAGAGCGAGCGAACUAGCAUAGCAAAGAUAGUAGUGAUUUCGAGGGUAUGAUCAUCUUGCCUGCACAGUUGUCAGAGUUGACUGGAUCCUUAAAAGCAAACUCAACGGGCUCCUCGUUAGCGAACUCGUCUCCCGGCUCUACCCAACAACACAAACAAGAAACAAGGAUACAAUCAACCACGUGCAAGUGCAACCAAUAAUAUGCAAAGACGAUAUGCUAUGCGGGAUGCGAUGCGGGAUGCAAAAUGCAAGACGUGACAGGAAAUGCAUGAACCUGGCCUCAACUUGGAAAACCAAGUGUGCCACUGGAUAGAGGGGAAGAAAUCCCCUGAAAACGAUAUAAAGAUCAUGGCAAUCGGAGCUACGGUUUGGAAAUGGCAAGUGUUUUACAAAACGAACCGAUCUGCGAUUUACAGCAAGUAGGCUCCUAAAUGCAAGGAAAUGAACAUGCUACAGCAACCAAACAUGAAAACAAAUUGCAUGGCAGUGAUUUACUCAAGACGCUUAACAAAUCACCAGGACUGAGGCAUAGGCAAAUUCAUCUAUUAAGGGCUUCAAACAAGCAUGGCAAAACUGAAUAAGCAAAACAGAUUUCAGACUUAGCGAAAUUAACGCUAGUCUGAAAUUUCAGACCACGGUGCUCUUUUCGGAGCAGCAAAACAACAUGAAGCAAAACCUGAGCAUGGCAAGUAAGAGCAUGGCAUGGAGCUACUCAACAAGCUUAACAAAACACCCAAAAUGACCUGGGGCCAAAAAGGUUCACAAAAUACUCUACCGAGCACACGAACAUCGAUGAAACACAAUCAGUUUUCAGACUUAGUGAAAACUGGGACAUGCUGAAAUCAUAACUCACGGAGGCAUGUAAACGAGCUCGAUGCACUCACUACGGUGCAAGUCAUGGAAAGGCAAGCAUAUAUCCAUUAAUAAGGCACAAAAUGCUAGCUAGACAUGGCAAGAACAAUGGCAUAUCAUACAUGGAUCACUAGCAAUAGCUCCCGCAAAAUCGCAAAAGAGUUCACGAUCUGCCCAAAACAACAACUAUGCAAAAGUUGAGCUCGAUUGAGUCAACCUAGGGGGCUCCAACAUAACAAGUAAAGACAUGGAUGGAUUAAGCACAACAAGCAUAACAAAUCACUCUUACUGAUCAUCCUCAAAAGAGGCACAGAUCACUAGGAAACAAGCUGGACAUAUAGCAUCGUGAACUAAAACAUCCCAGACUUAGUGAUUUUCACUAAGUCCCUGAAAUCAGUAAACUCAGGUACCCCACUUUGCAAGCUUGCACAAGACAACACACACAUCCUAAAAAUGCAAGGGAGGCACCUCUGGAAAGAAGACAACAUGCUUAACAAUUCAUCCCAAAGGGGCACAUGCAUAUCAUGCAAACAAUAAUAAUGGCAAAAAUGACAAAAGUCAAUGUAGGGCUAACGGAUCUGCAAUUUAACUCAUGAUGCCUCCUUCCAACAGCAUUUUGGGCACCAAGAUGACCUCAAAUGCAAAUGAUGCAAUGUAAUGAAAUGAUGUACUCGUCGAGACGAAGAUUUUGAUAUAUCAUAUGCCCAAAUCAGAGCUAUGGAUGCAAAGAUAUGGCAGGUCAAAGUAGGCAUAAAAUCUGGAAAAAAUUAGGUCAAAAGUCAACCGAGAAUUUGGAUCUGAGAUCCAGAUCGGGCACGGACUUCGGAGUUCGCCGGUUUUUACUGUAGCUCGUCGGAGAUCGUGACGAAAGCCGGCGUGGAGGGAGGAGGAAGAGGCCGGCGGGGUCCGGGCGUCGGCGGGGGCGGCGUCCCGCGGCGGCGCGGCGUGGAGGCGGCGGGGCCNNNNNNNNNNNNNNNNNNNNNNNNNNNNNNNNNNNNNNNNNNNNNNNNNNNNNNNNNNNNNNNNNNNNNNNNNNNNNNNNNNNNNNNNNNNNNNNNNNNNNNNNNNNNNNNNNNNNNNNNNNNNNNNNNNNNNNNNNNNNNNNNNNNNNNNNNNNNNNNNNNNNNNNNNNNNNNNNNNNNNNNNNNNNNNNNNNNNNNNNNNNNNNNNNNNNNNNNNNNNNNNNNNNNNNNNNNNNNNNNNNNNNNNNNNNNNNNNNNNNNNNNNNNNNNNNNNNNNNNNNNNNNNNNNNNNNNNNNNNNNNNNNNNNNNNNNNNNNNNNNNNNNNNNNNNNNNNNNNNNNNNNNNNNNNNNNNNNNNNNNNNNNNNNNNNNNNNNNNNNNNNNNNNNNNNNNNNNNNNNNNNNNNNNNNNNNNNNNNNNNNNNNNNNNNNNNNNNNNNNNNNNNNNNNNNNNNNNNNNNNNNNNNNNNNNNNNNNNNNNNNNNNNNNNNNNGCGGACGUUGUCCGGUCGGAUCCGGACACGUCCGUCGGUGGGGGGGGGGGUUGAUCUGUUUUUUUAGGAGGACGGGGAGGAAGACGAGAUCCGAAAAAUGGGGGACCUUUAAAUAGGCAUAGAGGGAGCUAGGAGAGUCCAAAUAAGGUGCGGUUUUCGCCCACACGAUCGUGAUCGAACGACCGAGAUGAUGGAGCAGAGUUUGGUGGGUUUUGGGCCAAAUUGGAGGGGUGUUGAGCUGCACACACACGAGGCCUUUUCGGUCCCUCGGUUAACCGUUGGAGUAUCAAACGAAGUCCAAAUGACCCGAAACUUGACAGGCGGUCUACCGGUAGUAAACCAAGGGCGCAUGGCAAGUCUCGGCCCAAUCUGGAAAUGUUUAAUCCCCACACAUGAAAGAAAGCUAGAAAUGGCCACCGGAGGAGAACGAAGCGCCAGAAUGCAAAACGGACAACGGGGAAAAUGCUCAAAUGCAUGAGAUGAACAUGUAUGCAAAUGCAAUGCACGUGAUGACAUGAUAUGAGAUGCACGAAAACAAAAACAACACACGGAGACAAGGACCCGAACCCGAG
rnacentral:lncRNA from 1 species